rnacentral:rRNA from 1 species
AUAACAAUCAACAAAGUUCAAGGUCAAACUAUUCCAAAUGUUGGCAUCUAUCUUCUAGAGCCGGUGUUCUCUCAUGGUCAACUCUAUGUUGAUUUAUCAAGAGGGAUGUCAAGACAAACAACAAGAAUCACUACAAAAAAAAGACACAUCCAUGACAUUUUGGGCCGAACGAAAAAAAAUUAUGUCAUACUUAUGACACUUCUAUGA